UACGUAGGGUGCGAGCGUUAAUCGGAAUUACUGGGCGUAAAGCGUGCGCAGGCGGUUUUGUAAGCCAGAUGUGAAAGCCCCGGGCUUAACCUGGGAAUGGCAUUUGGGACUGCAAGGCUUGAGUGCGGCAGAGGAGACUGGAAUUCCUGGUGUAGCAGUGAAAUGCGUAGAUAUCAGGAGGAAUACCGAUGGCGAAGGCGGCGUCCUGGACCAAUACUGACACUGAAACGCGAAAGCCAGGGGAGCAAACGGG
rnacentral:rRNA from 1 species